UGGGGAAUCUUGCGCAAUGGGGGCAACCCUGACGCAGCUACGCCGCGUGGGCGAUGAAGCUCUUCGGAGCGUAAAGCCCUGUCAGGAGGGAAGAACUUGUCAUCGACCUAAUACGUCGGAGACGUGACGGUACCUCCAGAGGAAGCCCCGGCUAACUCCGUGCCAGCAGCCGCGGUAAUACGGGGGGAGCGAGCGUUGUUCGGAAUUACUGGGCGUAAAGGGCGCGUAGGCGGAUUCGGAAGUCAAGCGUGAAAACUCUCGGCUCAACCGAGAGCCUGCGCCUGAAACUCCGGAUCUUGAGUACAGAAGAGGAGAGUGGAAUUCCUGGUGUAGCGGUGAAAUGCGUAGAUAUCAGGAAGAACACCUGUGGCGAAGGCGGCUCUCUGGUCUGAUACUGACGCUGAGGCGCGAAAGCGUGGGGAGCAAACAGGAUUAGAUACCCUGGUAGUCCACGCUGUAAACGAUGGGCACUAGGUGUUGGGGGUAUCGAUCCCCUCAGUGCCGAAGUUAACACAUUAAGUGCCCCGCCUGGGGAGUACGACCGCAAGGUUG
rnacentral:rRNA from 1 species